GUUAUCACUGCAGCUUGUUUAUCUGAAGUGAGACUGAUGAGCUUAGAGGAAUAGUAUCUUUUUUAUGCACUUUAUGUUGGCCUGAAUGAGACUUUACAACUAAUUAGUGAAUUACUGUAGCUUCACAGAGAGAAGGAAUUUCACUUAUCCUGAAAUAUACCCUUUUUAAGCAAGGCUGCAAGGACCCUGGGAAAGUGGUUAUACAUUCAUAUCGCACCAUCAUCUAAGUACAUGGAAAACACUUUUAUACUGUGCUGAAGAUUUGUCAGCUUACUACAAGGACCUUAGAUCACACCUUCAACAAGGUUCAGCACAAACAAGAGGCCAUAAAGGAGGAAGCAGUACUGGCAAGGAGAGAAAUGGACAGUGGAAAUAUUACUGCUUGACGCUGCCUUCUCCCUGGUGGUCAUUCUAAGAAUGGCUUUUGUUCCCGUGGGUGAGAACUUGACAUCUCCCUCUACUUUUUUUCUUCUCUUUCCAGUCCAUCUCUUCCAUAACAUUAUUUGCAUGCACAUGGGAAUAUGUGCCUGCAUGUGUGUAUGUGCAUGUGUAUACACAUAUGCUUUUUAUAUAGGGAUGUCUGUCCAUUGUGAUUUGAAUUGAAAGCAUGUUACUACUAUCUUUUACCAAUAAAGGGCUCUGUUCUAAACAGUAAAAGUCAUAUGCAUUCACUCCUGCUUGAAAAUAACACCCAGUAUUUUCUUAGCUCUUAUUAGAUCAGAUCUGGGUAACAGCGGGAUGGAAUUUAAAUUGCCCUCUAACCCAAGCCUGUUUUUCCUUCCCCAUUUCCAAAGGUUGGAUGCAUCUGUGAAAGCUGCUAUUUGUGUUCUGCCCACUCUUUUGUUCUCUUCACCCAGGUAACAAAAAUCCUCUGUCCCUGCCCAAAGACCAGACUGUAAUAGCUGGCUCUUCAGCUCAAGUAACAGCAGUCAAGAGCAGAAGCGUUUUGUAAUUGAAAACCACUGAUGAAAGGGGAGGAUGGCAAAAUACCUGCAGGCCACCGAACAUUUCCCAGCAAUUCAGCUAUGCCAACUGCGAGUGCUAAUUAGAGACGCUGCAUCACUGUACUGCUAUGAAAAUGAAAGGAAAUUAGUCUUUUUACCUUUACAGCAUUUAGUUCAGCUUAGAAAAGGAGUGAUUGCUUGCUCUGGGUUUUGCGAAGGGAAGCAUGUUGCUUGUCUGAUGCUGUACCCAGAGCAGCAGCAAGCGAGGGAGAACAAAGGUGCUGGGGAGGACCAGGUCUCAGCAGUGAACUGAAAAUUCAGCUGGACUCUGAGAAAGAACCUGUAUUUCUAUGAAACGAAAUUGUGCAGUCACUCUCCACUCACAUACUUAUCAAAGUCAGAUUAAAUUAAUGUUUAAAAAGCAAAGAAAUAAAAGGUGUUUAGAGCACCAAGUUUAGUGUCACUCCUCGGUGGUCAGCACUGUUAGCACUGUGCAGUCAGAAACCAAGAGCCUGUUUUCCCCCCGAGUUCAUGCAGACGUAAAGGCAGUGCAUGCAGUGGUUUGAUAUUGUAACUUCAUGCGCAAAUGUGCAUGCUAUUCUCAAGGGCUGGUGACCUAUGCAUUUACACCAAAAAAAAAAAGAGUGCUCUGCUAUCUUCAUCUGACUGUGGUGUCUGACGCUUUGACAGCUGCAGGUUUCAAGAAAUUUUACAUAGUAAUAGUAAUAAUAAUAAAAAAUUAUUAGUUUCUGUAACCCUCAGCCUAAGCAGGUCUUUGUGCUAGAUUAAUCCCUACCUCCCCUCUGUAUACCUGUGUAUCACAUAUUUGUUCUAAGGUUUGAAAAUUAAGUUCAAAACCUUCAGUUAUCUUAAUUCUGCAAAAGCAAAUCCAGAGAGUGGAAAAGAUUAUUGCCCCCAAAGACGUUCCUUUCCUCUGAUCCCAGGUAUCAAAAGAAAUGAGAGCAAUUGUUUCUCAUCUCAUCAACAGAGUUACCUUCAGGGGUUUCACCUUUCCUUAACACAAACCCCUCAAAUGUGUUUUCAGACAAGAUCAGUCUACUGCUCCAAAACUGUGGGACCAGCAAACAGAGAUCCGAUGUGAUAAAUGUAUUUCCAGAUUAAAAAAAUCCCACUAACGCAGGAGGCAAACUCCUGGUAAUUUCACAUCAGCAAUGCUGAGUUGCCUUCUUCUGAAGAAUUUUGAGGUCACUUUCCAUCGGUUCCUGGUUUGCUUCUCUCCACAUGGUCUGUUCCUGGUUGCAAUUGUCUACCACACUUG